rnacentral:rRNA from 1 species
UACGUAGGGGGCUAGCGUUGUCCGGAAUCAUUGGGCGUAAAGAGCGUGUAGGCGGCCCUGUAAGUCCGCUGUGAAAGUCGGGGGCUCAACCCUCGAAUGCCGGUGGAUACUGUCGGGCUAGAGUGCGGAAGAGGCGAGUGGAAUUCCUGGUGUAGCGGUGAAAUGCGCAGAUAUCAGGAGGAACACCGAUUGCGAAGGCAGCUCGCUGGGACGUUACUGACGCUGAGACGCGAAAGCGUGGGGAGCAAACAGG